rnacentral:misc_RNA from 1 species
AAGAGAAAAUUUCUGACUCCAUCGAAUUUAAUAAUUUUUUUGGAAUAUAUUUAGUUUUUUAGGAAUGAUGGAUCUGGAUAAAAGGUUGGAGAGAUUAUAUGAGCUGAGAAAAAGAUACAUUAAAGAUGUACAGUUCUUCAGAUGUCACCUCCGAGAAGAAACCACUUUAAGAACACUUCAACUGAGGAAAUCCAUCAGAAAAGAUAUUUGUAGAAAAGAUGUGUGGAAGAUAGAGAGAUUAAUUUUGAAAUCAGUCAUUAGAAAGAAAGAAGAAAGUGUUGAAUGGCAGAAAAAUUUGGUCCUCAACUUAUCAUCGAAAGAAAUACCAGAAGACUAUAUGCGGUUCUUAUCAUACGGAGCUGAAAAAAAAAGUUGAAAUUAGAAUAAAAAUCUGUGAAGUCUGAAAAAAAAUUAUCAUCAAGAAAGGGUGCAUUCAGGAUCAUAGGGCAAGACAUUAUAUAGAAAAUAAGAUACAAGCAAUUAUAUCUGAAGGAAGCUUUGAAAGAUUGGAGAAAGAUCCGUUUAUUGAAAUACAAUGAACAUUAACAAAGAUAUUGAAGAAACUUGUGAAAGAAGGUUAUAUCCAGGCGAAUCUAAGUAAAGAAAUACUUCCAAAGGAAAAUGUAAGAAUUCCUAAAUGAACUGUCAGAAUUAAAACACAAACAAAAUAAAUGUAGACCAAUCAUAGACUAGAUUCACAUUGUUAUAUAACCUGGAAAUGUUUAUUAAGAAGUUAUUACAGGAUAUACAAAACUCGAAAUAUACAGUUAAAAAUGCUGAUGACUUGAUGAUAAUAUCAAGAUUACAAAAAGGCGUAAUCUUACCUAAUUAUAAACUGAUGAGUUUGGAUAUAACAUCUAUGUACCCUUCCAUUACUAAACAUAUGAUUUUGAGCAGUCUAUUGAAAGAAAAUUUUUAUCGACAAACAGAAGGUAUUUGUAUGGGUUCCGUAAUAGGACCAAAACUAGCCGAAAUUUAUAUGCUGAAUGUGGACAUGAUUUUAUCAACGUUAAAUGGAGUUAAGUUUUUUGCAAGGUACGUCAAUGAUAUUUUGAUAGUGUAUGAUAGUGCAGUCACAACAAAUUUGCAAAUUUUGGAACAAGCUAAUAAAAUUAAUUUGAAUAUUAAGUUUACUCAAGAACAUGAAUUAAAUAGUCAAUUAAGUUACUUAGAUGUAAUAAUUAAAAGAUUUGAAGACCAUUUGGAAUAUUGUACAUUUGAAAAACCGUGUAACACGAGAAUAAACAACAAAUAUAGAUGAAAGAGAAACAGAAAUUGGAGAUACACAUAAGAAAUAUAUUUUAAAUGGAUACCCAAAAAAAUUAUUAAAUGAUUGGUUUCAUAAAUUCUUAAGAAACACAUUUAAAGUUAAACGUCGUCAAGAAAUAACAAAGUUAUCAAAUAUGAUGAUUAUAAGAAGUACUAAAAAACAUUUAUUGGAAGAAGAAGGUGUUGUUUAUUGGAUAGAAUGCACGUGUAGCAACCCUAGUUUUUACGUUGGUGAAACAAAA